rnacentral:misc_RNA from 1 species
AACGCACAUUGCACCCGCCAGUACUCUGGCGGGUAUGCCUGUUCGAGCGUCAUCUCAAACCUCAGGCCAUCGCCUGCUGUUGGGACGUCCCGGUCUUUUGCGGGAGCCCCGAAUCUCAGUGGCGGAGCCGCCCUGGACUCUGAGCGUAGUAACAGAAAUCGCCCACGAGCACAGGCGGUGCCAGCCGUAAAACGCCCACCACUUCAAGGUUUGACCUCGGAUCAGGUAGGGAUACCCGCUGAACUUAA